AUGGCCAAAUGUAUCAGAUGGAUUGACUUUGAUUACCUUCGAAGACACUCGAAAACAUUCAUUUCCCCCUUUGGUUUCUCUCUCUCGCUCUCUCUGUUUCUCUCUCUCGCACUCGGUCUCUUUCUCUCUCUCUCUAUUUCUCUCUCUCUUCCUGGCAUCACUCCAGUCUGUUUCUCUGGUAUUUCUCUCUCUCUUCCUGGCAUCACUCCAGUCUGUUUCUCUGGUAUUUCUCUCUCUCUUCCUGGCAUCACUCCAGUCUGUUUCUCUGGUAUUUCUCUCUCUCUUCCUGGCAUCACUCCAGUCUGUUUCUCUGGUAUUUCUCUCUCUCUUCCUGGCAUCACUCCAGUCUGUUUCUCUGGUAUUUCUCUCUCUCUUCCUGGCAUCACUCCAGUCUGUUUCUCUGGUAUUUCUCUCUCUCUUCCUGGCAUCACUCCAGUCUGUUUCUCUGGUAUUUCUCUCUCUCUUCCUGGCAUCACUCCACUCUGUUUCUCUGGUAUUUCUCUCUCUCUUCCUGGCAUCACUCCAGUCUGUUUCUCUGGUAUUUCUCUCUCUCUUCCUGGCAUCACUCCAGUCUGUUUCUCUGGUAUUUCUCUCUCUCUUCCUGGCAUCACUCCAGUCUGUUUCUCUGGUAUUUCUCUCUCUCUUCCUGGCAUCACUCCAGUCUGUUUCUCUGGUAUUUCUCUCUCUCUUCCUGGCAUCACUCCAGUCUGUUUCUCUGGUAUUUCUCUCUCUCUUCCUGGCAUCACUCCAGUCUGUUUCUCUGGUAUUUCUCUCUCUCUUCCUGGCAUCACUCCAGUCUGUUUCUCUGGUAUUUCUCUCUCUCUUCCUGGCAUCACUCCAGUCUGUUUCUCUGGUAUUUCUCUCUCGGUUCUGCCGCAGUCGUGUUCAGGCUGGUUUGAUUUGUUGCUGCUGUUUUGCGGCGGCCGGCGUGAAUCAGGAGUCAGACGCACAGGGACAGUAGUGGUGGGAACAGAGAUGACCACAGUCAAACCAGGCGCUGGGCACCAGGUGACAGCUGUGUGUGACUGACUCUACCUUCCAAUCAGCAGUCAUGACCUCGCCCAUCAUCACUGGGACAAGACCACUCACCAAUGGGCAUGCGUCCCUUUCUCGUCUGUCGUCCAAUCACAACAGCCCAGCAGGUAAACAUAUUUUCUUGAUCUUCCAUUGUAUCUGUAUGGGCUAGAUUCAUUAACCAGAUUAAGUUUACUCCUGGACUAAAAAGCAUGUAUGUGCUGAAUCCGGGUUUGAGUAGCUUUCUCCAAGACGGGCUGAAUAUCUACUGUAGAUCCAGGUUGUUGUUAAUUUAAUGCAUCUUAGUACUGGUGCAAGCAGCAGUAUACUUCAACCUCUCCAAUGUUUUUCUAACAGUAUGAAACACGUGAUGUGCUGUGAGUUUCUCUUCUGUUCAUCAUUGCCCUCUAUAUGCUCACUGACUGUCUCUCUUCUCUCUUCUACGUGUGUGUAAGGGUCACCGCGGAUGGACAGAGUGCAGCUAGUGAGGGGGAGAGAGGAGAGAGAGAAGAGUCAUGGUAUGAAUCACUGCUUCCAACUGAACUGACUGGAUGGCACUGUCAUCUGUUGUUGUGACAAACACGCAAACACACAUUUGUUUUACUAUCCUUGUUAGGACCAAACAAUUGAUUCCCAUUCAAAAUCCUAUUUUCCCUAACCCCUAAAACUAAACCUAACCCUAAUUCUAACCCUAAACUAGUG
rnacentral:lncRNA from 8 species